GGGGUUGUGGCUCAGUGGUAGAGCGCUCGCCUAGCAAGCUCGAGGCCCUGGGUUCAAUCCUCAGCACCA
rfam:Ictidomys tridecemlineatus contig019916, whole genome shotgun sequence.